rnacentral:lncRNA from 1 species
CUGAAAAUGGGCCUCAACCGGUAUGGCCCAGCAGUCUCAGGGAUUGGCUCCACAUCUUCCGAAUCUGGACCGGCCUCCACGGCUGCCAAGUGUCACGGGAUGACUCUUUAAGCCUUCCGCCCGUGCGGCACUUAGACUUGAAUACCUCGAUGAACAAGCUAAGUAAGCCUUCGAAGCCUCGCUUCCCCGGAUCGAAUCACAAAGAAAGCUAAGAUAGCUUGGAGAAUGCUAGAAUCACUUAGAAGAUGGGAGAAAGGAAGCUUUGUAUUGAAACUUAGGAGAACUUUACAAUUGCUUACAAUUCUUGGAUGCUCCGCCACGUUCUUGAUUUCUCCGGGACGUUCCAGAAGCUUCCAUGAAGACAUGGCUUCAUGGGCUUAGAUAUAUGAUGUCUUGGGCAUUUUCUUUGUUUUUAACAUGCGGCCCGUGACAUCCUCCCCCACUUAAGCCGUCGACGUCCUCGUCGACUCUUGCCUCUCGAAUGUCUGAAUCAAGUCCUUAUAUUGCCAUAAGGACAUCUCCUUCUCCCAUGUUGCUUCGGAGUAUGGUAGCCCCUUCCAUUUGACAAAGUACUCCACAUGCUUUGGUUGUCUUGGUCGCACCACGACACGCUUGGCUUCAAUGCUCUCCACUUCUUUGUCAAAUGCCUCCGUCAUCAAAGGGGGUGCUCGAUGAGACUCACCUCUACUUGGUUCCUCAUCGUCCGCAUGAUAAGGCUUCAAGUUGCUCACAUGGAACACCGGGUGAAACUUGAGGCGGGGUGGGAGUUCCACAACAUACGCGGCUUUGCCAACCUUCUUGAUGAUAGGGAAUGGUCCCUCAUAUUUCUGCAACAAGCUCUUGUGCAAGCCACGAGUACUCUUGUGCUGAGACGCAUUGAGCUUCAUAAAGACUUGGUCGCCAGUUUGGAACUCCACAUUCCUUCGCUUGCGAUCCGCCCAUUUCUUCAUCUUCUUUGAAGCCUUCUCCAAAUGAGCCCGAGCAAGUUCGUGGGCUAAUUGCCACUCCUUAGCGGUUUUGAAAGCGGCUGGACUAUUCCCCGUGUAGCCAAUCACGACCGUGUUCGGGGUCAAGGGUUGUUGCCCUAUAGCCAACUCGAACGGACUUUUCCCCGUCGACUCCGAACGUUGCAAGUUAUAAGAGAAUUUGGGCAACAUCAAGUAACUUAGCCCAAUCUCGUUGAUUGGCACUAACAUAGUGCCGCAUAUAAGUCUCCAACAAUGCAUUAACCCGCUCCGUUUGUCCAUCGGUUUGGGGAUGAAAAGCUGUGGAGAAGUCUAACUUUGUGAAGUACCUUGCUUCACCAAGUUGAUCGAAUAAGUCGGCGAUCAACGGAAGUGGGUACUUGUUCUUGAUCGUAAUCUUGUUCAAUGCUCUAUAGUCGAUGCACAACCUUAGGCUACCUUCUUUCUUGCGUUGGAACAAGACGGGUGCACCAUAUGGGGACUUGGAGGGUUGGAUGUAGCCAGCAUCAAGCAGCUCGUUGAGUUGCUUCCUCAAUUCCUCCAACUCGGGUGGCGACAUCCUAUAAGGUGAUUUGGAGGGAGGCUUAGCACCAGGCUCCAACUCAAUCGCAUGGUCGACCUCUCUCCUUGGUGGCAACUUCUUUGGCAGUUCCUUAGGCAUCACGUCCGCAAACUCCACAAGGACGUCUUCCACUUGUUUCGGCAAAGGCCCGUGCUUCUCCUCCCCUUCAUUCAACAUUAGGGUUGCAAGAAAUGUGGCCUCGCCUUUCUUCCAAGACUUGGCAAAUUGAAUUGCCGACAAGUGCUGGGUACACUUCUUGGCUUGCCUUUCCAAUGGCACCAGGCAAGGUUGUCUUCCGUCGGCUAGGAUACAGAAAAUAUUGUAGAAGGGAAUGGGAAAGGCUCGUACCUUGUCCAUGAACUCUAACCCAAUGACUACGCCAUAGUCGUCCAUCUUGACUACGGUGAAGUCGAUCGUUCCCUUCCAUGUGCCAAUGUCUACGUGCACAUUACGCGCAACUCCAACAAUGGGGGUGGCAGCGGAAUUUACCGUCUUCACGCUACCAGGCUCCUUUGUGACUCGGAGGCCCAGCCUUGUGGCUUCCUCCGACGUCAUGAAGUUGUGUGUUGCUCCCGUGUCCACCAACACACGCGUCGUCUUGUCACCAGUCUUGACGUCGACGAACAAUGAUCCUCCCCCAACUUGAGCCUUAGGUUGUGGGAGGGUUGUCUGGAUGGCAUUCAGUAGACUGAUGCAUCCCAUCGUUGCAUCGUUACUCUCCUCGGCCUUGUCCUCCUUGAAGGCCAUAGCCUUAAGGGCCUUCUUUUGUGGGCAAUCUCGCAUCAUGUGAGGGCCAUCGCAUAGGUAACAAGUGGGUUGCCAAGACUUACCUUUGCCUUUGUCAUGCUUAUCGGCUUUCUUUUCCUUCGGUUUGCUUGUCUCGGCCUUGUCCUUCGGCUUGUGUUCUCCCCCACUUUUCUCAUGGUUACCCCUCUUCCCCGUGGACUUGGAAUCACCUUGGUGGCUUGAUUUAAACUCAAUCAAGGAUUCGGCAGCGGCAAUGGCAUCAGACAAUGUUUGCACGUGUCUCCUUUGUAGUUCGAGUUUUGCCCAAUUUUGCAGUCCACUCAUGAAGUACAUGAGCUUGUCUUCCUCUAACAUGUUGGGCACCUCGAACAACAAACUCACAAAGGUGUUGACAUAGUCUUUGACACUCCCCGUUUGCUUGAGCCACCUUAGUUUCUCCUUGGCUUCGUACUUGGCAUUUUGGGGAUAGAAGUGCAACAUAAGAUCUUUCUUAAAUUCAUCCCAAGUGGUGAGAGAAAACGUACCUUGCUCAAUCUCCAUGCUCCGACGACGCCACCACAUAAGGGCAUUGUCAGCUAAGAACAUGGUUGCCGUUGAGAUUUUGGACUCGUCAUCUUCAAGCUUUAGGUACUCGAAGUAUCGCUCCACGUUCCACACGAAUGUGUCGAGCUCCUUUGCUUCCCUCUUCCCAUUAUAGGAUUUGGGUUUAAAGGAGUCGAUUACCUUGGAGUCCAACGCCUUGAUUUCCCUCGACCCUUGCACGAAUUGCUUCACGACUGCUUCUUUACAAAACGCCACAUCUCCCUUGAGUUCCCUUGUGUCCUUUAUUUCUUCUUGAAGUGCCACAAACCUUGCCUCUAUGUUGUCAAGGUGAACCUGGACUUCCCUCCGCAUCUUGUCUGCCAUGGUGUUGAGGGCGCCAAGGAGCUCAUCUCGUAGCCCUUCCACCAAGCCACGCAGUUCAUCCUUACCAUUGUCCACCAUGGUUUGGAUUUCCUCCUUGUCGACAACGUCCUCAUCAAGUCGAGUAUCGAACUCGAGUAUGGUUCGUUCCACCUUCUCGAGUCGCUCUUCCAUGGUCUCCAUCGAUGCUUGCAAGUCCUUUAACUUUGGCUUGCUCUUGGCAACGUCUUGGACCUCGGCAGCACGCUCCCUUAGCUCGGAGACUCCGGACACCGUCUCUCCACUUGCCAUAUCCUACUUUCCUUCAAGUGAUUCACGAGCUUGGCUCUGAUACCAGCUGUCACGGGAUGACUCUUUAAGCCUUCCGCCCGUGCGGCACUUAGACUUGAAUACCUCGAUGAACAAGCUAAGUAAGCCUUCGAAGCCUCGCUUCCCCGGAUCGAAUCACAAAGAAAGCUAAGAUAGCUUGGAGAAUGCUAGAAUCACUUAGAAGAUGGGAGAAAGGAAGCUUUGUAUUGAAACUUAGGAGAACUUUACAAUUGCUUACAAUUCUUGGAUGCUCCGCCACGUUCUUGAUUUCUCCGGGACGUUCCAGAAGCUUCCAUGAAGACAUGGCUUCAUGGGCUUAGAUAUAUGAUGUCUUGGGCAUUUUCUUUGUUUUUAACAUGCGGCCCGUGACACAAGGUAGCUGAGAAGACUGCAUUUGAUAUAAAGAUAGAGAAGUUCGAUGCAGCGGCAAAGAUCAAGAUCAUAAAGGAGGUUAGGACUUUCACGGACUUGGGGCUGAAGGAGGCGAAGGAGUUGGUGGAGAAGGUCCCUGUUGUGGUGAAGAAGGGCAUGACGAAAGAGGAGGCAGGGCCCAUUGUUGACAAGCUUAAGGAAUUGGGUGCUACUGUGGUACUGGAAUGAACUGGUUUCUUUUUGUUUUUUACCCAUUCUUUUUUUCAUCCACUUAGAAAAACAACGAGGACAAAGCCGUAUUUCCUUAAGUGGGGUCGGCUAUAUGAUCCUAGAAUGCCAUAGCGCUCGAUUUUACGUCAAGUCUUCUGUUAGUUUCAAGCGAUAAAUGAAGAUAAUCCUAAAACUUAUAACCGCUCCUUUUUGAUCCGUCCACGGUUCACCUAAUGAUUUUUUAUUUUUUUUUAUGUUCUUAUAUAGUUACAUUGGCAAGUUUUCUGAGAUAUGCUAUGUUUAUGGCUAUUUUUUUAAGUUCUUGUGAAAUAAAUGAAUUUUCCUUCAAAUAAUUUGAGAUAUGUAUAUCUGUAUGUACAUGAGGUGAAAGAAUUUUCCUUCGAGGGGAUUAAGAGGGAUUAAACUUGAACUUAUCUGUUCCGAAACUAUCAUUUGUGAGGUUCAGAAGAGAUAAGUUUCCUUCAUGAGUAAUUCAUGUUCUACCUUUCAAGUUGCACAAAUUUGCCCCUUGAACUUACAAAAUUAUCGACUUUGGUCUCUCUCUCAACUAUUUUUCCUGAAGCAUAACACACAUUAGCCUCAUUUAAAUUGCCCUCACUUUCUACAUUUCACAAUUUUCAAAUUUCCGAAAUUAUGUUUCUGUGCAGGAUGUAACCUUAAAAGGCAAUUGACAUGAGAAAAUUGGUUAGUUGGGAAUGUAACUCAUAUGCUUUGAGCAAAAAUACAUUAAAAAUAGGAGCAAGUGUGCCCGACUUGUAAAUUAACAUAAGUCGGGCACACUCGUUCCAAUUUUGUUGGAUGUAAGUCGACUUUAAAUGAAAAGAGACGUGCAAAAUUAAAAGGACCAAUUUGCGACGAAAACAAUUUAGUGCUCAUAGUGGGAAAAACCGAAAAAUUCAGGGGGGAAUUUGUCAAAAACCUAGCUUCUUGUUAUUCAUUUAUUUUUUUGAAGGAUGGAGGAUAUACAUAUUAUUCUUGAGCAACAACAGUUGCUUCACCUUUGUCGAGCAACUCAUACAUAGUCCUGGUCCUCUUCUGCAAAUCCCAUUGGUACAUUUUCCACGGCAUCGCCGCCACCAUCGCCACCGCAAUUCCCAUUGCUAUCUCCUUCACCAGGUUCGGCCCUUUCAGUGGCGGAUGCGGCACCCUACCCGCCGCCAUUACACACUGUCUCUAUAUCGAUAUAUCCUUCCUCUACCAUCACAAGAACAAACACCAUAUUAAUUAUUUUUUGUUAUUUCAACCAUGCAAAUUUAGAAUGAACGUAGAAAAUUACGGACUUGGCUACGCUAACAUGCAUUUACUGAUAUCGCAUUUACUGACUACAUUGUCGAUACCUCGAUAAUAAAAUGAAUUCCACUUACAUGGACGGUAGAGAGAGAGAUACCUGAGGGGGAGUUCGGAGGAGCAACACAGAUACACACUCUGGUUUCGCCGUUAAUCGAAUGUUUAGUUUUUGGUUUAAAGCUUCAAAUCGUCGGAGUGGUUUAAUUUAUAGGCAAAUGUUGAGAAAUCCGAUUGUGAUUGGGUACGUGUUAGUUAAAUACGUAGUCAAAUGCUGCAUUAUAGUCUGCAGAUUUGGUGAUUUCUGUUUUAAGGGAGAGGGUGUGUGUAUUUGUGGAGAGAAAGAAUGUUGAUUAGGCUUGAUAUAUAUAUAUUUAGUUUUGUGAAGAGAUAAUGAGAAUGAGGAUCCUCUCUCCGAAUCCUGUCUAGAUCCUCAAAUCGUGUCCGUUCAUUGUACAUCGUGCGAUCAGUUUUCGUCAAGUAUUGUUCAUGUUAAUUUUAAAUAAAAAUAUUUAAAAUGAUUUCUAAUCGCAGGAUGUACGAUAAACGGAUACAAUACGAGAAUCCCCAAUACCCUCACAAAGAAGAUCCAGAGAGGAUCCGCAUUCAGAUAAUAAUGUCAUUAAUUGCCGGUAUUCCUCUUCAGUAAGAGGUCUUAGGUUUGGUUCUCGUCAAAAAAUAAAUUUGGAUCACAUUAUUGUUAGUCCAUUGUGAGCCUAAUCCCACCUCUUUCAUUGGGGUGGAUAAUAUUGUUUGUUCAAAAAAUAAAAAGUCAUUAAUUGUGUUAUGAAUUUUUUAUAAAUCUAGAAUUAUAUUUCAACUAUUCGAAAGUUUUUUACAAGUGAGCCUCUAUCUACGAUGUAUGGACACGGAUACGGAAAUAUGCAAUAUGUAUUUGUGUGCUUUUGGUUGAGUAUAGUUUCGAUAAGGUCCGCCACUUGAAUAUUCUAGCAAUUGACGAUCUUAACAUUGAAUUAACACCAAAUUUUUAGUAUGCUAUUAUAGAUAUUGUUUAAGGACCUUAGGAACUUACUAGUGAAAAUCUAGUGGUUGGGGAUCUUACGGAGCAAGUGAUGUAAGAUCAUGGACCAUACCUUUGAUUGACGGUUUGAUUCUCAUUAAAUGUCAUUGUGGGAGACUUAUGAGAGUUUUGGGUAUGUGAAUUUAUCGAGAGAAUCUAAAUGUGGACUUGUGCUUUAUUUUUGGCGGUGAUAAAGCUUGAUGUCUUGAAUUCCAUGCUAGAGUGCGUUAGUGUGGACCUCAGGUGAGUGACUUUAAUAUAGGUGAUAUUGGUGAUUACCCUGUUUUCAUAAUUGUUAUCCUAUGUGGAUAUGACUUGGUUUUAUAAAUAUGUUUUCUAUGGAAUUGUUAUUUUUAAUGCUUAGCCAUUGAAUUAAGUUUAUGAAAUGAGAUUUGACAUGUAAAUAUUGAAAUAUGGUUUGAUUGGUUUGAUUGCCAUGUUGUGAUGAAAUGUGAGGACUAGUGGUAGACCGUUAACCCGUGGUGAUGGGGAUUUGUUGAUUCAAUAUGGUUUCAUCUUCCGCUUCGUUGAUUCGUUCUAAAUUUAGUAUUUGUGCCUUAUUUCCCUUGGUUGAGCUUUUGUAAAUUAGGUAACUUGUACUUGUCUCAUUUCUUUGAGCCGUUGUAUAUAUGGUUGUUGGCCUUCCGCAAUUUCGUUGAGUGGUGGUCCGGAAUCGUAUCCACUCAGAUUCCAUUGAGAGAUGGUCCGAAAUCCCUCCUACUCCGCGAUUUUGUUGAGUGAUGGUCCGUAAUCGUAUCUAGCUUGGGUUUCAUUAGUGGUCCUGCUUGGUUAAUCCGCAUUGGGGGACCGUACUAUAUAUGGAUCGUGCUUGGUUAAUCCGCGUUGGGCAAUCCUUAUGGCCAAGGUAUAAAAUAUCAAUGAUAUCAAAAAUAUCGGUAGUCCAAAAACAUGGAAAUAUCAAUGGAAAUAUCGGGAUAUUAUCGAUAUUGAUAAAAAUAAUAUGGAAACCACAGAAAUUGUAAGAAAAACUUGGAAAUUUUUAUUGAAACUUUGCAUUAUGUUUAUUUAGUCAAUUAUCUAUUAGUUUAUCACAAAAAUUGGAAGGAAAUGCGUUGCAUGAUGGAUUUAACUUAUUUAAGUUGAUUAUAUAGCGAGCUGGCAAACAUUGUAAGUGUAGAAAAUAUGUAGUAAUUAAUGAAAGAAGUUUAAAAACACCAUAAUCAUUUAUAUAUAAUGAAUUAGUACAAUAUUUUACACUUUAUACAUUGCAUGGUAAGAUACAUGAGUGACUUAGUACCACAUAGAGUUCCUAUGAGGUUCAAAAUUUUCACUAUCUUCAUCAUCUCUAUGUGUAGAGUAAGUGUAUUGUGAAGAGUAGUUAUCAAAUGAUAAAUCCCCAAAAUAGUUUUUCAUGUAAUUGUUAACAUGCCACCCAUAUGGAUCCGAGAUUGGUUGACGUUGUCCAUAAGCAAAAUCAUUUGAAGAUUGAGUCUCGGAUUCUUUCCAUGAGUCGCUCGUUUCCAUCCCAACAGGAAUGGGAUAUGAAAGGUAGGGAAAUGGUUGGUUAUGAGUAUAACCAUAGUUACUACUUCUCACUCCAACAGAGUCCGAAGUUAUAGAUAACAAGUCAUCUUCUUAACUUGACAAAAUCCCCUUGCCUCUUUCUCUACGAGUAUAGUCCUUCCCUAUGGCACCAAUUCCUGGUCCUACCCGCCUACUGCCAUGGUCCUCAUCCUGUGUUGCAUGCGUGAAGUUUGCCUCACCAGUGAAGGGGCUCAUAAAUCCGGGAGGUGGUCCAACAUAGUUUCCAUAUCCACCACUACCUCCAGCUCCACCUCCGGUGGUAGAUGAGUCUCUUGAUCUUGUAGUAGAGCUAUCAUUAGUAUCAGCAUGAUCUUGUGGUUGUGUAGGAUUGGAAGAAUGUGGAAUUCCAGUGUUUCUUGGUCUUGGGCGCAAAAGUUCUUCGAAAGAGUCAGCGCUGCUAGAUCACACCUCCUCCUCUAAUACUCUUUCUACAUUUAUCCCUUCAUUACGUGCUUCUUCAGCAACUUUGGGAGCUGGGUUGCCUUCAUCAUCAUCUAAAUGAAGAGGUCUAAUUCAUUGAUAAAGUUGGUUAGCCUCUGUAUCAUCAUCUUCAGCAACAAUAUCAAACACAUCUAGUGGGUCACCACGGUCGACAUGAUCUAUUUCUGCUUCCUUAUCUCAAAUUUGAAGCUUCAUGUUGUAGUAGCAAUAAACUAAUUUUUCCAACCGACUAUGAGCCAACCUAUUUCUUUGCUUUGUGUGUAUGAGUGCAAAUGUACUCCAAUUUGUUUUAUAAGUAGAUAAGGAAGUUGUUUGUGAUAAUACUUUGAUUGCUAACUUUCUCACAGUUGGUGCAUUAGUCCCAUACAUGAUCCACCAUUCAGCUAUAAUGAAAAACAAUGUUGAUAAGCCUAAUAACUCCAACAAAUUCUAUUAUAAUAGUGAAAUAUGUUUACACUCACUAGGAGACAUUUUUGUUCGAGCAGCAACUGAUGUUGAUUCUCCAAAAGUUCUUCUUGCAUCUUUAAACCAUGUUAGCUGAAUUCAAUAAAUCGUGUUAGUUUAACCCAACAAUGUAAUUAUUAUAAUUUAAGUAAUUGUGUACCUCAUUUCCAAAUUGGCUAACUGCUGGUGAUGCAGGGUUUAAUUUAGAGUAUACAUUAUGUACAACACAUAUAAGGGUACCAUCAUCUCCAACACCGGGUCUGUAUUGGUAUCGAGGAUUCAAAUAAUAUGUUGUUCAAAGAAACACAUACUCUAAUAAGAGAAAUAAUACUUAUGCAACUAAAGAAAUGAAUUGCAAAUUAUGACAUAAUUUAUACCUGCUGCAUGCAAAUCGUGGUAUAAUGUUUUAUACCAUCGGUCAUCAAUUAUCCUUAUGACCCACCUUGCACCAUGAUUUCUUUCCAAGUCAUCCUUCACUACACGCAUCAACUCAUAUAUUGCCCCCAUAGUAGGAUACACUUAUGUGUCAACGAUCCGUAAAACUUUGUAAAGAGGUUCAAACACUUGGCGCACAUGUUCUGAUUGAGUCCAAAAAGCAUGAUCAAACACUAUACUUUCCACCAUACGACCUGCAUUUGAGCGGCUAAAAUUGUGGUUGGCCCAAUCGUCACAAGUGAAUAAUUGCUUCAACCCUGCUUUCUUCUUAAGUAGGUUGUCUAAUGCAAUAUAGUUGGUGGCGAAUCGAGUGGUAGAUGUACAAAUAAUUUCUCCUUUGCAAAAUCCACGCAUCUUUGCCAACAACCAACUGUGAUUGUAAAUAUAAUUUGUGAUCGUUCUAGCUCUUUUUACCAUAGAAGCAACAUUUUUUCUCUUCCCCAUUGCCUCAAACAUGAGAUCAAUACAAUGAGCGGCACAUGAUGUCCAAAACACAUUAUGAUGUUUCAUUAACUUUUUUCCAGCUUUGACAAAUGCAGAACCGUUGUCGGUCACAACUUGGACAGCAUUAUGCUCUCCCACCUCCAUGAUUACAUCCCUCAAUAAUUUGUAAAUAUACUUGUAGUUCUUUAUAUGGUCUGAAGCAUCAACAGACUUCAAAAAAAUUGUCCUUCCCUUGGAGUAUACCAUGAAGUUUAUGAUAGACAAUCUAGUCGAGCCAGUCCAUCCGUCACACAUGAUUGUGCAACCAUUAGUUUCCCACUUUGACCUCAACUUGUUAACAUACUCGCCAAUGUCUUUAUACUCCAUAUCCAAAUAUUUGUUUCUUACCUCAUAGGGAGUGGGAGGUUGUACUCCAACACCGGCAUGUUGACAUCCCAAUACCAUAUUUUUGAAAUGAUGUGAUAAUGCCUUCUCAGCAGGGACAUUUUCAUAGAUAAAGAACUUGCUAAUUAGACGCCCCAUUCCCUCUUUCACAUUACCUCCAGUGAAAUAACUCCAAACACUCUUUUGACGUGCUUUGGAUGACUUAUAUAAACUUUGGGCUAUUGGUGGUGUUGGUUGUGAUUCUCUAACACUUGCUCCCCAUCUCAUUUGUGCACCACCACUUGUCUCGGAACCUUGUGCUCUAUUAGGAAUUUUAUGAAGGUGUUCUCUUUCCCAUGCUAACUGUUUGGAGGUACAUAAUGCUUGUUUCAAACGGCGUCGUUCUUCAAGUCUCAUGUCAUCAUCACAUUCAUCCUCAUCGUCAUCAUCAUCACUGUCAACCGCUUGGCCAAUGACUUCUCCUCGUAGCCCAGCUCGAAUAUUUUCCAUUCCAUGUGUUAUCUUUUCCUUCUGCUGUUUUUUAUUUUUUAAUAAUGUGGUGAUGAAUGCCUUCACUUCUGGGGGGGACACUAUCGCAUCGUUGGACAUUAUGUGCUAGAUCUAAUCCACUAAGAUGGUACUUAAGUCGUGUCACUCCGCCACUCUUCAUUACCCGACCACAAUAUUUGCAAAUUGUGCCAUGUUUGUUUCCGUCUAUUGGGUCUCCAUGUUCCCAAACUGGAUCACGUUUAGUAACUCCACUGGACAUCUUAAACGUACCUAUAUUUAUUUUUCAUGAAAAUUAGGCAAUUAUUUUUUUGCCAAAAAAUAUAGUGACGGAAACAUAUUAAAUAAGAAGUAAAGAAAAUAGGAAGUAAAGUUAUUCUAUAGAAGAAUUAAAUAGGAAGUCAAGAAAAUGAUUGUAAGAAUUUAAGUAAUUAUAAAAAUAAUAUGGAAUAAUAAACCUAAUAUUAAUGAAUAAUAAUCCAAUUUGAUAAUAAAAUAAUAAAUAACAUUAAACAUAUUAAAAUUAUUCUAGGGAAUAAUUAUACAACAUUACUUAAUUACUUCAAAAAAUGAACAUGCAAGUAUAAAUUACAAUAAUAUAAAUAUAAGUUCGCAAACUUGCCUUAAAUAUGAAACCUUUUGUGUUGAAGGUCUAGAAUGGAUCUGGAAUGGCUUUGAAAGGGGUAAGGGAAGAAAAAGAAACGAAAAGGUGUAAUAGAGGUUUUAAUUUUCGAAAGGUCAAAAAAUGUGUGAUGAUCUGAUACUCCACCUCUGAGAAUGUGAUAGAAUAACAUAGUGGCACACGGUUUUGAAUGGUCUGAAAUUGUAAAAGUUGUCCAUGGUCUGAUACUCCACCAUUAUUUUUGUCCAUGGUCUAAAAUUGUACAAGUUGUAAUUGUAAAAGUUGUCUGGGUUUUGAAUUAUUUAGAUGAUUUUGAAUAAAACCACCAUUAUUUUUGUCCAUGGUCAAAAAAUGUGUGAUCAUCUGAUACUCCACCUCUGAGAAUGUGAAAGAAUAUCACGUGUGGCACACGAUUUUGAAUCUUGAUGCAUGAAACCACCAUUAUUUUUGUCUUGUAAAAAAUUGUACAAUUCCUAAAAGCUGUAAAAGUUGAAUUAUUUAGAUGCUUUUCUUUUCUCACACCACCUACACACACACGCACACACAGAGAUCCACACACGCACAACACACGCACACAGAGACGUCAGUCGUCUCUAGAUCCUUCUCUCUUCUCCCUCUCCUUUUCCCACAAACACACACACAGAUCUCACAGAUCUCUCGAAGUCUCGAUCCUUCUCUCUUCUCCCUUCUCCCACACACACGCACAGAGACCUCAGUCUCUCGAUCCUUCUCCCACAUGGCCUUCUCCUCCUCCCUCGCCUUCCUCCUCAUCCGCGUCUUCCGCCUCGUCGGCGAACCCAAGAACUCUCCGGCGAGUUCUCUUGAUCCUUUUCUGGUUAGGUAAGCCCUCAAUUCAUCUUGCAUGUUAUGUGGUGUGGUUGAGAAUCGAGAUAUACUAAGUUUUAUCUGGUUUUUUUAACAAGGUUUUAGAAGGAGAUCGACCCGGGGGAAGGAACACCCAGCUCCAGCGAGGCCGUGAGGGUCGAGGAACUUUCCGAACACCUCCGACCGUUUCACGGCAAACGGAAGUUAUAAAAACAUUCCUCUCCUCUUGUAUUUCAUUUUUAUACUUAGAUCGGAGUCUAGGGUGCUCUUUUACAGUCGGUCGGAGCUAUAGAAGCUCCGGCGUUCUUCUCCGAUUGCACCAGUUCAAAAUUUCACGAUAUUAUCGGUUAUAUCGUGAUAUUAUCGAUAAUAUCGCGAUAAUUUGACGAAAAAUCAUUGGAUAAGUGUUAAAAUAUCCCUCUCUCACAAAACUGACAUUAUCGGCGAAAUAUCGUCGAUAAUAUCGGCAUUUCAAACACUGUUUAAGGCUAUGUAUGCUUAGGAGUGAUCAUGAUUGGUUAAUCUGCAUUAGGUGAUCAUUUCUUAACAGAUGUAGGAGUGACUCUGCUUGGUUAAUCCGCAUUGGGGGGUCACUACCUACUUGGUUACUUUCUUAAGGGUGGCGUUGCUUGGUUAAUCCGCUUUGGGGGGCCACUUCCUCUUUGGUUACUUAUGUAGGCUUCGGCCGAACUGGGUCCAUCUAGCCCUAGUUUUUAAUGUGCGUAUGAUCGAUGGUUUUUGAGAAUCUUGUGAUUUGAAUUAGAAAAACUGUUGGAUAUCUGGGUGACUCAUUCGGAGUUUCCAAUGACUUGAUGAUGAUUCCAUAAAGCAUGAUUCUAUACUGGAUGUUUAUAGAUUAUGAUCGAUGGUCUGUUUUAAUUGAAUAUCACAUACUUGUAUUAUUGUCACUCACUCUAGCUUCGUAGCUUACCCGAGUGUCUGAUUUGCCCAGUGUGUUAUCUCCAUGAUGUAGGCAUUGAUUUUACUUAUGACAGGUAUGGAUAGAUAACGAGAAGUAGCUUGGUAUUUCAGUUCCGUUGAGUGGUCUGGAAUCUUUGUUUUUGCUCAUUUUCAUAAGGUUAGUCUAGAACCCUAGAUUUUUAUGAAUGAGAAUUACCCCCAAUAGACCUUGUGAAUAUAAAUUAGAAGUACCAUGUGUAUUACUCAUAAUCCAAGUAGGGAAUUACAUAGAAUUUCUUAAUUAAAUUCGGGAAAUUAUAUGUUGUUUCAUUAAUUGAUUAAUAUAGUUAGAUAUUAAUAUCGUGCAUCUUGGAUUUAUGGAAUUGAUUAAUUGACGUGAUCGCGAAAUGACGUUGGGUAUGAUUGAGAUUAUUAUGAUUAGAUUAGUUGAUCAUUGUGACUUGAGAAUAAUAUUGUGCUUCGUUGGUUCUUUGAUAUGUUACAUACUAUGAAUUGAGGUAUUAUGUGAAACAAAGUGAUUUAUAUGAUAGAUAAAUUGGAAAGCAUCUGUGUGAGAAUGGCAUACCGGCGUGCAUGAUAAGGUGAUAUUUGUUGUUUGGAGUUAAGGUUGAUGUGUAGUGUGGUACUUUAUGAGUUCUGUUAGAAGUAUUUUACAAAAAGUUCCAGAGCUUGACGAAUAGUGAACUACGAAUGACUUAAUCCCUAUUGAGGGUACGUAGGCAAUCUAACGAGGAGGUUAGAUGCAGCCAUAAAGUAAGCGAAAAAUUACUUCGAAAUUUGAUUCUCGAGUUGUGAUUUGCCAUAUCCCGGAGGCGGGGUAUGUAAGAUAUACGAGUAUUUAGUGACGUCACGUAUCGAUCUUGAACAUAUAUCGGGAUCGGGAUCAUGGCGUGACAGGUUGUCUGUUUUAUAAUACGUAUUUGUGUAAUUUGGACCAUGAAGGAUUCCUUAAUGUGAAUGAGGAGCCAAAGAGGAUCCUGAAAUCCUUUAAUCGUGUCCAUUUAUCGUACAUCAUGCUAUCAGAAAUCAUUUUAAAUUUUUUCAUUUAAAAUUGAACACAAACAGUACCUGACGAAAACUAGCAGCACGAUGUACGAUGAACAGACACGACAAUGAAUCCCCGAAAUCCUCACCAAAAAGAUCCAGAGAGCAUCCUCAUUCCCUUAAUAUUAUCUGUUUGGCUGCUUAGAAAAUUUUUGAAUUCCAACGAUAGGUACUUAUUACAAGGAUGAAUAUAGCGCCUCCCAACGAAGAAGGUAAGGGCAGCAGCUCGGGAAGCUUCUUUCGUGCGUGCUUGGCUUCCUACUGAGUUCGAGUGAGGGUCUUUCACCUGAAAGUUCUUGCUCUUCCACUGGUUACCGGCUUAUGACCUGCGGGUAACUAAGGCUCUACCCUCUCUGCGGGAAGGUCAGUACGGAAGAAGGCUUGACAACGCCGGGGGCUUGGACAGAAAUGCUUACCAAUUCCUACGGGUGCAUAUUUAGUCCACCAACAAAACAAAAAUUACAGUAACAUUUCAAAUUUGGUAAGAGAGGAAAACAAAACUACAUUACUAUUCAACAAGAGAAAGACCCAGAACACUUUGAACAUAUGAGUUCUAACAUUUUAUCAAGUAUUUUGCCGAUGUGCUCAUAAAGCCUUCACUGAGGAUGAGCACCUUGAUCCAGACACCAAACUUCAGCUGCCACCAUAUUUUCUGAAAGACAGCCAUUCUGUGGACUUAAUUUGUCCUCUGUGGCAACCUUGACCGACACCAUAGGUGAAUUAGCAGUUACGUAAACUCCAAAAACUGAUAAAAUAGGUUGCUCAUCAUCAACGGCAAAGCAAGGGGCAAGAAAAGGUACAAGUUGCAUUAACUCCAUCCGCUAUCCGAGUCCUCUGAUUGUUCCUCCUCAAUUUCUUUUAUGCUCUGAACUGUAUCCGAAACUUUUUUUGACAUGUGCUCUGUGUGUUUUUCCAAAUCUUUCAAGAUCAUAUUUAGCUGUUCUUCAUAUGCAGCACAACGUCGCUUACAUUUUUGCCUCUCGUUGUACAGCUCAAGGGACAGCUCUCGGAUUCUUUUAUCCUUCUCAUCCUGAAAAUUAGGAGCAAUGAUUAAGAGUAAUUUAAGAUGCUAUUAGGUCACUACAUCAUUGUUUUUCAUUAAACAUGUCACUACAUCAUGGGAAAAUUUAAGAUGCUAAACCAGGGAUCUUAGAAAUUAAUAGGCGCAAUGAUUAAGAGUAAUUUUUUUUAAUCUGUGUUAUACUAGCAACAAUUAUGGGUGCUUUAGUUUUUGCUAUGUCAAUAAUAUGUCUGUUAAGUCUCCUGGAAUAUCCGUCCACGUAGAAAAGUGGGUAUUCACAAACAGACCAUAACUAGGCAGUUGGUUGAUCGACACAGGUAUAGAUGAGUUUCUGUUAACCUAGUUGGAAUUAACAUAGGAGGACUUAAGUUGGAGAAGUCAAUAUGUAAAGAUAAAUGAAUCCUUUUGCAUGUCUACUAAACAACAGCUUCAUAUAAAGAGCAAGGAAUGUUUAGCUUCAACUUAACGGCUAAUGCAAGAUGAUUCCAGGCCUGGACAAGUGCCUGGUAACAAUACGCACAGCUCUUCCACAGUUGAAGGCAUGGAUUAGCAUGUUAACCAUUCUGAUCGACAAAGUUUUGUUGCUUUACCAACAACCCCAAAGUUUAAGCUAUUAGCAUGUCAAUUAACAAUUCUUUUAAAAUCCAGCACUUCCCUUUGUGCGUGGGUCUCUCCUCACUAGUUUUGUUCGAUGACCACUACUUUCCCAAAGCUUAAACUAUUAGGACAUCGAUUAACAAUCAUUUUAUAAUCUAAAAGCAAAUCCGUGAUCCUUUUUUAAUUAUUUGGUAAUCUGUUUAGUUUUCUUCAACAUUAUCAUUGAACACAGUAUUUAGUACCAGUGAGUUGGUGACAAAUCUUCUUAUGCAAACAUUUCAUUCAGUAUUAUGCUAAAAAAAAUACUCCCCAACAUACCUCACUUGCUAAGUGCUUUCCUGAUCCCCGCCAUGGAACCUUGCUGGGACUCAUUAGUUUGUGAUUAUGCUCUUUAACAAAUUUUGUGACUACCCACUUCGGUCCAUCUCUUAGAGCUAGCCUUAUCAUAGCUUGACAGCCCUCACGGGUUACUGGGGGUGGAGGAAGAACUCUGUCUUUUCUGUGCACAUACUUUUUUGCUCGAAAGCCUUCUUUUGAGCAAACAAAAUCUUGACCAAUAAUCUGAUUAUUUACUCGUGAACGACGAUUGUGGUGUAUCCGUACGGUGAAACCGGAGCGUCUGCCAUAUGCAACAUAAAAUUCUCUAGCUUCAUCUCUUGAGUUGAACUCCAUGCCUAUAUACGGUUCUAAAGCUUCUACGUUCAUAGGUAGAUCAGCUGAUUGUUCUUCUGUCUCCUCUUUUUCAUCUACACACAAGUCCAAAUUCUCAGGAAGCACACCUUGUAUCCCUUCAUUAUGUUCAUAGGUUUCAGCAUGCACAUCUAGGUCACUCUCAUCUGAAUCAAAUCCAUGAUUAGAUUCGUGAUCCAUUACGUUCCUACAAGAAGAAACAACAAAAUUGACUAAUCAUUUUCCCAAAAAUAGGACACAUAAACAACGACAAAAUAGUAGGUCAACUUCUACUACAAGUGAUUUGCUUGACAGCAGAAUUUUUAGUUUCAAAAACCUAUGUAUUGUCAACACUGCACUUGUCUAUGCCCCAUUACUGUUUCUUAGAAAGAAUAGAGUCUGAGGGAGAAGAAAAGCAUAAGAAUCGAGGGUUUACAGGGUUUACAAAAGCAAUACUUAAAUGACUUAAGUUAUACUUUACAUAUUGCAAAACAUAAAUAAAUAAAUGCAAACACAAGCACUAAUAAAUAACUGGAACGCCAAUAACACAGUAAUGACAUGUAACAGAAGAAAAGUGACCCAUUACAGUAGGAGCCAUUGUAAUUAUCCUCAAAGUUUCAUAUUCAUCAUAAACAACAAAGGUUUUCACAUGUAUGGUUAUGUAUACCAUACGGACCAUUAAGCUUUGUGAUAAUAGGACCUAAAAUAAAGCUGAAGAACGGUCUUCAAAACAUGAAGUACACAAGACUUAGUCAAGAUAAUGUUCUAAGCAUCGAAAGAGGAGAACCGUUUCCAGGUAUUGGAUUGCCCAAUAUGCGUGACUCAACCUUUGUUCACUGUGUUAAGACAGCUAUAUUCUGUACAAGCAAUGGAAGUUUCAUAACUAAGAGCACUCAAAUGUGACAUGAAUCUCUCUUCAGAUUCCAGAUUCCUUCCGAUGAUGGGUGAUUCGGAUAAAAUAAGAUUGAUAAACUAGGAGAAGGUUUCUCACAAAAAAUAAACUAAGAGCAGGUUUAUCGUUGCAUGAGACAAAGACUAUAGAGUAACUUAAAGCACAAUAAUUUUUCAAGCACAACAUAGAGGACAAUGUACCUUCAAGAGGGAAGUUUCUCAAUAGGGCAUUUAAAAGAGAAGCCCUUGAUUGCAGAGAAAGCAAGAAACUUAGGAAUAAGGCCGUUGGCGUGCAACUUUGACCAACCUAAUUUUCAAAUUAAUAAAUUGCAUCUCUUGAAAGAGGCACUCUUUUUCCCAUUGCACCAGUUUUCGAGUCUUUCUAAUGUUUGGUUACCUAUCACUUCACAAAAUUUAUAGUAUAAUGGCAGUCUAUCCCCCACAAAAAAUGUAGUUAGACUUAGAGUUCAAUUACACAAUUCCGCAGACGGUUAGUACGAAAGUAGUCAGCCUUAUAAAGACAGACAAGAACCUUACAGACCCAAAGGGCAUUUUGCAAAUCAUUUUCUUACAUUAAAUUCGAAUGCUGAAUGUCCAAACAAAAAAAUUAGAAAACAUAGGAUAGUCUUAAUAACAAUCCAAUUGUCGAAACAAAUAACAUGAGCCAUUAUAUCUCUUGGUACGGUAAAGAUUAAAACACAUUUUGAACUAACAGUCCAACAUUGGUUUCUUAAUUUAACUAUUUAUGUAAGCUCAGCAUCAUGAUUUCACCUAAAAACAGUCAAAGUUGAUAAAUACACACACAGAAAUCAUAGUUUUUCACCAAAGUUGCGAAAUUUUACGAAGAAUGCGGCCAGUUUGUGGUUAAACAAUCAUCAAAUUUGCUUCAAAUCAGCAUCUAAACAUAAUUAAAAAAAAAAAACCUGAGCCCUGGAGUUAUAAAUACGAAAAGCAUCAAUUACAACAGUUAAUCAUAAGAAACUUAGCAAGGGAAAGCAAAGAAGAAAGAAUAAACAGGGUUUGGUUUUAACUCACAGUCGCCAAUGACGAAAGGUUUGAAGAAAGCGGAAGUCCUAAAACGAUCUGCGCAUGGCAGCUCCACGAGCCCAAGUGGUAAAUUCUGCGGGGUUCGCUGGUAGUGGUGGGUCCCGCAGGAGAUGGAGAGCGUUGGAAGGGCGGAACACGGUAACAGAAAGACCAGCCCGAGGACUCCGGACUCGGAGGCGGAGCUAGUCUCAGUUGCUGGGGAUGUACAGGAAGAUGCUUUUCGACUAGGAACCGAGGGAAGUUUUCACACCAAAACAAGUAGCCUACAUUCUGUUUAAGUGCGACCAACAAAAACAAAAUUUCUGCGUUUACACGCGCUAUAUACCCUUUCACAAUAUUUUUUGUUAAAUUAUUAAAUCUGGUGUAACAAACGCACUUUUAAAAGUAAUUGCAAAAAUAACACUCAUUCUAUACGUGUCACGUGAAUUCAUCAAUGGCAUAAAUAAACUGGUGGCUCAGUGGUAAAUGGCAAAUUACGAAACUUCUUUAAAACUUAAAACUGAAGAUCUCGAGUUCGAAACCCGAUGAUGGUGUGAAAACCAAACUUGUGACCAUAAGGAAGCUGAAAUGGCUCUGUGAGUCUUCCUGACCUCCGAAAAGAGUAGAUAACCGUGGAUUACCAUCAGUUAUCUCCCUAUUUUAAAAUUAAAAAAAUAUAUAUAUAUCAAUCCAUAAGGAAUAAAUAUUCCAAUUCAGUUGAUUCACGAACGUCAUAUCCCAAGAUUAGAGCGUCGCGAAAGGUUGGUUUAAAACAGGCAAGACUCACGGGCCAAACAAAUAGCAGAUCCAGGGGUAAUGUUACCCUAAAAAUACUGAAAAUGAGAAGAAUCUCUCGAUUCAUAUAUUCCUUAGGUCUAGUGUCUAAAGCUUGUCAUAAAUAAUGAGCCUCCUUUGUUGCGGCCCAAACGGCAGCUCUGCUCAGAAGCCCUACUUUGUCAUGUCCCCAUCACAAUCUCUUGUAUAUUUACACUUGAAAGAUAGAAGAUUCAGAAGCAUCCUAUUUCCUACUUUCCUCAGUCUGGAGUUUCUGAUUCGACAUUCGAGAAAUACAAUUAAGGCCCUCCUAGAAACGAAAUCAUACUCACACAACUGUUUUAGCUUCAAGCUCUUUUAGCUUGUUAGAAACCGAUUGAACUUUUGUUGAAAGGUGCGCGUUGUGGUCUUCAAUAUCCUUGAUAAAGGCAAGUAGCUGAUCUCUAUACGCUGCACUUAACCGCUUCUUAACUCGUAGCUCUGCAGAUAACUCCUGGAUUUUCUUAUCUUUCUCAUCCUGGAAACAUAUGCAAAACGAUGAUCAAUGAACUCUGGGGGAAACGAGUGGGUACAGUGUGUGCUGUGUUAAUCUCGAGAGGGAACACAGCCAAGAAAGAAAAGGAAACCGCAUAUGGAAACAAAAGAUAUCUCCCAAAACCCAACAGAUUUAUAAAAUCCCCAAUGGCAAUAGAGCACUAUACAUUGGACGAUUCAAAAGUACAAACUUUCACAAAACACAAGUUCUGAAGCAUCUGAAAGGAAGAAACCAUGAGUACAAUGAUAAUCAAAAGGCUCACGAGUUGAAUAUUUUGUGAGAGCAUCAAUGUGGUAUAAGAGAUUUUAAGGCCAUAAACACAUGCAAAAACAAGCUGUGUUCAAAACGGAAAAGGAAUAAUUAAAACACAUUCAGGAAUAACAAAUUAAGGUGUUAAAUUUCCAAGCUAAGCUCAUCCUAGAAAUUUUCAAUGUUACGUACAGGAUUACACUUUACAUACGAAGAAAAAUAAGUCUUGAAUCCAAUGCGGUCAGGGACUCAGGAAGGCUUCAGAACAUAUUAAGAUUAUCUGUAAUUUUCCUUUUCAACAUUUAGAAGUAUGCUCUCCAUAUUAAAGUGGAAAUGUAAGGAGUCAAUUUAAUCCUUAAAAGGAAAAAAGUUCAUUAAACUGAUACAUCAAAUAGUUCUAGAUAAGCUGACAUUAUCAAAUAAAGGAAGGUAGUUUGAUAGCAAGAACGAGGGAACAAAGAAAUACGGUAGCCUUCAACUUUAACUUUCACGUCUUUCUUCCUUUUUCAUUUAAUAUAAGUUACAAGCUAUAUUGCACCGAUACUUCAAAUUUGGACAAGGGUGAGUAUCGGAUACCUACACCCCCAUGAUACCCUCCGAUAUUUCUUGGAUACGGUCAAGAUACUCCUAAGAUAUUGAACUAGGAAUUUGGGUGGUUGUAGUUUCUAAACUCCGUUGUUCUUGUGGGUUUAGUAGGAUAGACAAGGUAUGUGGUUUCGGAAUCUCCAGAGUUUAGGGAAUAAUCCCUCUGUGUUAUAUGGUUGUACUUAAUUUUUCGAGAAGGUAUGUGGAUAUUCCCUGUGUUAUAUUGUUAUACUUAAAAGAACAUAAUGUUUCCGCUUCUUAAUAUGCUUUUGAAAUUCUAGGAUUAAUAUAAUUAUACUUUCAUGGGUAUCGUGAUAAGUUGAUUUUUGUUUUUUUAAGUAUUGCAUAUGUCAGAUUUGGUUUAGAAACAAAGAAAAUAUAUUUUUUAGUUUAGCUCACAGGUUUGGUUACUGUUGAGUUAUUUGACAUGAUUAAUUAAAGGAAAACUAAUGAAAAGUCCAAAAAAACUUCUUUUUUAGAAAAAGCCCUUUUCAAAGGUAUAGUGAAUAGUGCCAUUGCCAGUUAAAGGUAAAAAUAUGGUUUUUCGUUAAAAGUUAACAGUAGGGUUCACUCGUAUCUAUAAAAACACAACUCAUUAACAGAAAUUGUCCUGCUCAUGAGAAAAUAUGCAAAGCAAGAGAAGCUUACAAGCGUUCUGCGGAUCUUUGGUGAUUGAAUCACUAACAGAUGAUUAUGGUCCCCCAAAAAUUUCUUGAUAACCCAUCUUCCAGGCAUCUCUUGUUUCAACAAGACCAUGGCUGGACAAACUUCUCCUUCUCCACACUCCUUCUGCAUUACUUUUCUACGAUUCUCAGAGACCCCUCUGCAUCCAAGUCCACGAGAGAUUAUUGACCCAUCACGCUCAGACUUCCGGGAUGACAAACACGGGUCACAAAUCCAACACGCCUGGCAUAAUCAUCAUAGAAUACUUUGGCAGCUUCUUCUGAUUCAAAAAGCAUACCCUCAUAUGGUUCUUGACAUGGGCCAACUUCAAUAUUAUUUGAUUCCCCUCCUGCAGAAGUUUCGACUGUCCCAUUCAAAUCAUCCAUUUGCACCUCCACUGUAGCACAACGUAUCAAGUUAUAAAAUGCACUAAGCCAAACAUGCUAUUAAGCAGACCGUUUAGUUCUGCAUAUGGAUACACGAACUUGAGAUUUGAAAGGGAAAUGAUUAAAUGACCAAAUCAUAUAAAUUCCACUCAAAGAAAGCUUAAGAUUUAGGAAUGUGGUAAUGUAAGAUUAAGACAUAAAAUCUUAAAAAACAAUCCAGCAUUGGUAUAGAUUUUAAUGCGUAUUAUCAAUGAUAGGUGUGUUUUGAGAGGUGGUCUACUCACAAAAUCCUUGAUGCAAAACACCUACAGUUCGGCCACACUAGUCCGUUUAAGAAAUUUGCAUCUGCCACUCAGCCCUAUGGCCCCUAACUAAACCCUAUAUGCGCUAACAUAUAGCAAAUGAUAUCCUUCAAUGCUACGCGUGUUCUAAGCAACAUCAAUAUGUUACAACCAAUUAACAAAUACAACAUCGCACACUGAGAAAAGACUAUCAAACCUCACCAUCCUCUAUUUGACAAUGCUAUAUACGGAGGGCAAUGGUAUGAAAUCUCAAACAGACAUGGUGGAACAAAUGUGCGAGAUGCAAUUAAUAGGAUGUACAUGCUUUGCCGAGCACACACAAAACAAAAGAUUAUAAUAACACUAAUACACGAAAGCUAAGCUAUAUCUCCAUCGACUCUCAAGCUUAUUUAAAAUCUCAGAAAUAAGAACACCAGCGCACUCAAGACUUCACCGGUUCCUUUUAGUUUACAGUGCAAAUAAAUCGUAUUUGUAUCUAAGAAAUCUUUUGAAGAAAUUCCAUGUCAUUUCGCGUUUCAAUAAUCUUCACGAAAGGCAUGAAAAUGUGGCCAAACAUCCACACCCUUAAUUUCUCUUCUCAUUAUUCUCUUCUCCCACAAAUUUCGAUUACCAAUUACAAAUACAGGAAAAGUAGUGUGCCCACAAACAAAUAGGAACUUGAAUGAGCUCAACAAGUAGAAUUGCACACAAAACAAAGUCAAUCAAUCAGAGGGUAUCAAUAUCAUCAAUGGCGGAUACACAGAGCGUUUAAUAACAGCAGAAAAAACCACAACAAGAAGAAAGAAAGGUCGUAUCUUUUACUGUAAAAUAUAAAACAGAGAAACGGAGAGAUGGGUUGGACUUACUUGAACCCCAACAGGAUUUGGAUUUGGAUUUGGAGUCCGGUGGAGGUGGUGGUCGGAGAGAAGAAACGGCGAGCUUAGAUUUUGAAAGAGGGGAAAAAAGAUGCCUCCGAGUUUUCACUUUUUCAGACUGUUUGAGCGUCAAGUGUUAGUGUAAGAAGAACCGCACGCGUGGUUAAUCAUCGGAAUAUACAUUUAAAAAGGAUUUUGAGUUAAAAUGCGUAACUCUUCACUUUAGUUUCUUGACAAUAAAAAUCGGUACAUGUAGUUCUUAAUUUUUUUCACCGUAAAUCAUUUUGGUACGUUAGUGAAAUAUUUGUUAACAUCCUUAUUAAAAUGUCACGUUGACGACUACGUGACCAUUUUUUUAAGGAAAUUUUUGUUAAACCAACUCCUUCACUUAACAAAAAUAUUGAGAGAUUUUUCACGAAAAUACCAAAAUAGUUUACAAUGGACAUACUCAUGAUCCACUCCUAUCGAUUUACUAUUGUCAUGACUAAAAUGAAGAUUUAUGUUAAUUCAGUUACUAUUUUGACCAAAAAGCCAAAAAACAAACAUACAACCAAAUUAUAUUUUUUUCUUGGAAGAAGAAAAAAGGUGUUGUAAUUCGCUGUUCAAAAAUAUCAUCUCACUCUCUCAAUACAAUUUUUUCUGGAACAAAUGUUGAGUGUAAAUUAAUAUUUUGGAGGGCGUUUCACAUUUUUAAGUAUAUGUGGUAUUAUAUAUAACAAUCAGACAGUCUGAGUUUGAUACCUAUAACAUUAUUAUUAAAUUAACGUGACUUAAAUUAUUAUUAAAUUAACGUGAGUUCAAUAUAUUGAUAGCACACUUAUUUUUUCUGGCCUGCAUCUUCGUAACAACUCAUAAAAUUUGCAAUAAUAUAUACCUUCGUUCUUAUAAAUGGCACGUGAUCGGUUCGGAAUAUCAUUUUGGCAUUGUUUGGGUGAAGAAUGUGCAAGUCCCGAACGAUUGAGAUCUAGUUAAUAGGGAACGAAAGAAGUACAAAAUGUUAAAUAGAAAUGCAUUUCAUGCUAGGUGUGUUCAAAGAACUCUCACGCUCGAAAACCAGAAAAGUUCAAGCGAGGAAGCUUCAACCGCUGGCAGCAAAAGAUGUUCGACGGAGUACAGAAAAGCGUGAUGGCAACAGCAUACGAGAAGUAAAAAUCUACCUUCUAGGCUUCUAGUAUCGAAAUUAUGUACAAGCGGAUUCGGUUUCCACAACUCUAAAAUGCUACCAAAUUCCUUUAAAAUGGACACAAACUAUUUCUCUGUCUAGACUUUGGGACGCCGAUGCCCAAUAUAACCGCAGUUAGCCACCCGUUACGCCUCUCGGAUAUUAUCUUGCACCAUUCAAAAUAUGCACUUGGACCGUGGCAAUGCUUUCAAGUUGCUGCACAAAAACGAGUAAAUUUAAGCGCGAUUGCAGCUCAUGAACUGGUCACCGUUUUAAGCAGCUCCAUCAGUGCUUGCACGUCUGCGCAGUCACGGACAAAUUGGAUUUGCUCGCAUGGCUGCAGCCUGCACUGAAAUGAAGAAAAAAGUUGCAUAAAGACAUGAGCUAUUCACUCUACUUUUCUUCUUACCGUAAAUGCACUGAAAUUCAUCUUACUGAAUGCAAUUGAAAUAGAUAAAUACUUGUAUUAGCAUUCGUAAGCAAUUGUAACUUUGCAAUAAACUUGAAAAAUCUGUUUAUGAUUGGCAUGAUAGAUCUCGAUCAAUGUCUGAAAUCAUAUUAAAAAUAUGAGCCUCCUCGUAUCUAAUGAAUAAAACAACUCGAAAGUCUAAUAUAAGAGUAAUAAGAGGAAAGGAAUUGAAAAGAAACAAAAAGGAAAAUGAACACAAUAGGAAUAGUGUUAUUUAAGUUAGAAACAAAAUGAAAGAUCUGUGCAGAGAGAGAUGCCAAUAAAGAUGCGAAUAACUCCACGUUACAGCCAAAGCUGUAAAAGUUGGAAAUUAAGAACCUAAUCAACAAGUAUUUAAGCAUGCCAAUCAAAUAUUCAAAACGACGACGACAACGACGACAACAACAACAAUAACAAAGCCUUUUCCCACUAAGUGGGGUCGGCUAUAUGAAUCCUAGAACGCCAUUGCGCUCGGUUUUGUGUCAUGUCCUCCGUUAGAUCCAAGUACUCAAGUCUUUUCUUAGGGUCUCUUCCAAAGUUUUCCUAGGUCUUCCUCUACCCCUUCGGCCCUGCACUUCUGUCCCGUAGUCACAUUUUCGAACCGGAGCGUCAGUAGGCCUUCUUUGCACAUGUCCAAACCACCGGAACCGAUUUUCUCUCAUAUUUCCUUCAAUUUUGGCUACUCCUACUUUACCUCGGAUAUCCUCAUUCCCAAUCUUAUCCUAUCUCGUGUGCCCAUACAUCCCACAAAGCAUCCUCAUCUCCGCUACACCCAUUUUGUGUACGUGUUGAUGCUUCACCGCCCAACAUUUUGUGCCAUACAACAUCGCUGGCCUUAUUGCCGUCCUAUAAAAUUUUCCCUUGAGCUUCAGUGGCCUACGACGGUCACACAACACGCCGGAUACACUCUUACACUUCAUCCAUCCAGCUUGUAUUCUAUGGUUGAGAUCUCCAUCUAAUUCUCCGUUCUCUUGCAAGAUAGAUCCUAGGUAGCGAAAACGGUCACUUUUUGUGAUCUUCGCUAGAUUGCUCCGGUCAUUAGUGUGGAUAAGUAUAUAAAUGGAUAGAGAUAGGAAAGCAAACACAAGAUGUACGUGGUUCACCCAGAUUGGCUACGUCCACGGAAUAGAGGAGUUCUCAUUAAUUGUGAAGGGUUUACACAAGUACAUAGGUUCAAGCUCUCCUUUAGGGAGUACAAGUGAAUGAUUUAGUACAAAUGACAUUAGGAAAUAUUGUGGGAGAAUGAUCUCGUAACCAUGAAACUUCUAAGUACCGGAGUGUGGUAUCGUCUUGACUUUCCUUAUCUGUCUCAUAGGUAGAUGUGGAAUCUUCUCUGGAAGUACUCUUCCUCCAUCCAGGGGUGGUAUCUGUAACUGGUGGAGAUGCACAAGGUAAUGUAUCAAUGUCACUUGAAGCUUACUUGUAGUUUCAGGCUUGGUCAAGCGCGAUACAAACCAUGUAGUAGGAGUCCCCCAAGUCGCCGAGCUAGGGGAUUUGCUGAAAGAGGUAACAGACAAGGUAAGCAAUCAGAGCUCCGGCUGAUUGUUCACAUUCUCCCUAUCUUGCAGGCAGCAUGAAGGAUAAAGAGAAGAAAAAUGAGAAGAGAUGAUAUGGGAUACUUUUGCUUUUGAAGAAGUAACUUUCCACAUGCUUAUUCUUGAACUGGGCUGGAGGGUUUUCUGGUUUCCUCCAGAGUAUAAGGCCGACUGAAGAAUUUGAGGGUCAAAACAAGUCCAUCAAAUCUAGAGUACGUUCCACCCUGCUGAUAUGGGAUACUUUUGCUUUUGACAGAGUAGUGGAUGUAUCGGCACGUGUGCUGUUACGCUUGUCUCCACAUGCUUCCUUGUAUCCUUCUCACUUGCCCUAUCUGUUCCUCAAGCAGAUGCGAUAUCUUCCCUGGAAGCAUAAGAUGUUGAAGAUGAGUACUCGAGAGCAAUGCCAGGUAAGUAAUCAGGUAAGGGGUUCCAGGCAGUCAGUUCCUGGCUGGAAGCUUGAUUCCAAGUGCUGACUGAUUGCUCUCUUUCUCCUUGUCUUGCAGGUAAGAACAAGGCCAAAGGAAAAGACAGGGAAAAAGCAUGAUAUGGGAUACUCUUGCUUUUAACCCUGAUGAUAUGAGAUAUUCUUGCUCUAGUAUAACUUGUUUACAGAGGUAUUAUCGGGGGGAAAGAAAGCUGAAUAUUUCGAAAGGCUUCGUUGGGAGUGCCCUCUCAGAUAAGAGGAAGGGUUGAGCAUUUUUGCAGGUCUGCCUGUCCGUUGGGGAUGGAGGUCGACAUAUAUAGGAGUCUCCCUAACAUCAAGUAAUAAUGUUAUUCCUUUACCCUGCUUGGUCAUAGCACGGUAGUGGGAGCUGCCAGCUUCACAAGUUUUAACUCUGUCAGAGCACUUUGAAAAAGUGGUCUGUGGUAUCUGGAAAGCUGAUGUUGCGUGUGAAGAUUACAGACAAGCUUUAUCCAAGGAGAUCCGGCUCUUGAAGUUGGGAAAGUGGUGCCUCUUCGGUUUUUGAACAAGCAAUCCUGUCGGGGAUCUGGCUCUCAAGAUUCGGAGAACGAUGCCUCUUCGAUUUUUGAGAAAGCAAUCCUGCUGGGGGUCUGGCUUUCGAGAUUCGGAGAGCGAUGUCUUCGAUUUUUGAGAAAGUAAUCAUGUUGGGAGUCUCGAGAUUCGGAGAGGUCGCACUUGGUGCGAUGGCAAGUGCCUUCGCCCAUGAGCGGUAGGUCUCGGGUUCGAGACUUGGGAGCAGCCUCUCCAUAAAUGGGGGUAAGGCUAGCCGACAUUCACCUCCCAGACCCUGCGUAAAGCGGGAGCCUUGUGCACUGGGUACGACCUUUUAAUAAUGUUAGAAGUCUGGCUCUCGAGAUUCGGAGGGCGGUGCCUCUUCGAUUUUGGAGCAAGCAAUCUUGUUGGGAGUGUUUUCUCGAAUAUGAGUAAAGGUUGGGCAUGUUUGCUAGUCUACCUUGCCACGAAGCACAGAGGUUGACACACAGGGACUUUCCAAUUAUCCAGCAGUGGUACUCUUCCUUUACCCUCUCUUCGAUUUUUGAGAAAGUAAUCAUGUUAGGAGUCUGGCUCUCGAGAUUCGGAGGGCGGUGCCUCUUCGAUUUUGGAGCAAGCAAUCUUAUUGGGGGUGUUUUCUCGAAUGUUGUAAAGGUUGAGCAUGUUUGCUAGUCUACCUUGCCACGAAGCACAGAGGUUGACACACAAGGACUUUCAAAUUAUCCAGCAGUGGUACUGUUCCUUUACCCUCUCUUCGAUUUUUGAGAAAGUAAUCAUGUUGGGAGUCUGGCUCUCAAGAUUCGGAGGGCGAUGCCUCUUUGAUUUUGGGGCAAGCAAUCUUGUUGGGAGUGUUUUCUCGAAUGUGAGUAAAGGUUGUGCAUGUUUGCUAGUCUACCUUGCCACGAAGCACAGAGGUUGACACACCGGGACUUUCCAAUUAUCCAGCAGUGGUACUGUUCCUUUACCCUUGUGGGUAAUAAUAUGGUAGCUAGGCCUUCAAAAUUUAUGUGUCUAAACUUUGUUAGUGUUGUUUCUUUGCUAUUCUUUUACCCUUCUUGGUCAGAGCGAUGUAGUGAGAGUUGCAAGCUUCACGUGUCUCAACUUUGUCAGAGAACUUUGGCAAAGUUAUAUGUGGUACCCAUGAGCUACUGUUGCGUGUGGGAAGUGGGUGAUUGAACAGUACGAUUCAUGUGCUUUCUACUUCGCCAGAAAUCUUCGACAGAAUGCCCAUAAUUUCCGCAAAGCUGAGUGUGCGUGUGACAGGUGCUGACAAGGCUGGAAAAGUAGUCUCAACUUUGUCAGAGAACUUUGGCAAAGUUAUAUGUGGUACCCAUGAGCUACUGUUGCGUGUGGGAAGUGGGUGAUUGAACAGUACGAUUCAUGUGCUUUCUACAUCGCCAGAAAUCUUCGACAGAAUGCCCAUAAUUUCCGCAAAGCUGAGUGUGCGUGUGACAGGUGCUGACAAGGCUGGAAAAGUAGGUGUCUCUUCGAUUUCUGAGAUCGGCCCUCGUGGUCUCUGAGCAGCCCAGCUUUUGAGAAAGCAAACCUCUUCGAUUUCUAAUAUCGGCCUUCGUGGUCUUUGAGCAGCCCAGCUUUUGAGAAAGCAAACGCCUCUUCGAUUUCUGAGAUCGACCCUCGUGGUCUCUGAGCAGCCCAGCUUUUGAGAAAGCAAACGCCUCUUCGAUUUCUGAAGCUUCGUCGAGUGCAGAUUUUUAUAGAGGCUGACAUUAAGUUCCAAAGCACACUUGAAUAUCCACUAGUAGAAGCUCCAUUCUUGCACUUCUAAGAUCUUGAUUUGUCCGACCUUUUCUCUCUUCUACACCUUUGAAAAUGUCUGGCCCCUCCGACCAUCGUUUUGACUUGAACCUUGUUGAAGAGGCAGCCCCGCCUUCUCCAGACAACAUAUGGCGCCCAUCCUUCGUCUCCCCUACUGGUCCUCUUACCGUUGGGGAUUCCGUGAUGAAGAAUGAUAUGACCGCUGCGGUAGUGGCCAGGAACCUUCUCAGUCCCAAAGAUAACAGACUACUUUCCAAACGGUCUGAUGAGUUGGCUGUUAAGGAUUCUCUGGCUCUUAGUGUUCAGUGUGCAGGUUCUGUCUAAUAUGGCCCAACGCCUAUUUGCUCGAACCCGCCAAGUUGAAUCAUUGGCGGCUGAAGUGAUGAGUCUCAAACAGGAGAUUAGAGGGCUCAAGCAUGAGAAUAAACAGUUGCACCGGCUCGCACAUGACUAUGCUACAAACAUGAAGAGGAAGCUUGACCAGAUGAAGGAAUCUGAUGGUCAGGUUUUACUUGAUCAUCAGAGAUUUGUGGGUUUGUUCCAAAGGCAUUUAUUGCCUUCGUCUUCUGGGGCUGUACCGCGUAAUGAAGCUCCAAAUGAUCAACCUCUGAUGCCUCAUCCUUCUAUGGUUCUGUCCAGUACUGAGGCUCCGAAUGAUCCCCCUCCGGUGCCUUCUCUUUCUGGGGCUCUACCGACUGCCGAGACUUCUCCUAAGCAACCUUUGUGAAGGCUCCCUCUUGUUUGUUUAUUUUGACUCAAGUAUAUGUACAUAUUUGUAAUUUAUCGGGGAUAUCAAUAAAUAAGUUUUCCUUCAUUUCAACGUAUUGUGUUAAAUCACCAAAGCCUUCUUCGCUAAGUUCUUUGAAUUUUCUUUUGUUGAAGCUUGUAUGUUGGAGCUUUGUGAGUGGAGCAUGUAGGUUGAGGUAGUGUUCCCUUAAUUUCCCGAGCGAGGACAACUUCUCGGUUGGAGACUUGGAAAAUCCAAGUCACUGAGUGGGAUCGGCUAUAUGAAUCUUAGAACGCCAUUGUGUUCUGUCCUGUGUCAUGUCAUCCGUUAGAUCCAAGUACUCUAAGUCUUUUCUUAGGGUCUCUCUCAAAGUUUUCCUGGGUCUUCCUCUACCCCUUCGGCCCUGAACCUCUGUCCCAUACUCGCAUCUUCUAAUCGGAGCGUCAGUAGGCCUUCUUUGCACAUGUCCAAACCACCGUAACCGAUUUUCUCUCAUCUUUCCUUCAAUUUCGGCUACUCCUACUUUACCCCGGAUAUCCUCAUUCCUAAUCUUAUCCUUUCUCGUGUGCCCACACAUCCAACGAAGCAUCCUCAUCUCCGCUACACCCAUUUUGUGUACGUGUUGAUGCUUCACCGCCCAACAUUCUGUGCCAUACAGCAUCGCCGGCCCUUAUUGCCGUCCUGUAAAAUUUUCCCUUGAGCUUCAGUGGCAUACGGCGGGUCACACAACACGCCGGAUGCACUCUUCCACUUCAUCCAUCCAGCUUGUAUUCUAUGGUUGAGAUCUCCAUCUAAUUCUCCGUUCUUUUGCAAGAUAGAUCCUAGGUAACGAAAACGAUCGUUCUUUGGUAUUUCUUGAUCUCCGAUCCUCACCCCUAACUCGUUUUGGCCUCCAUUUGCACUGAACUUGCACUCCAUAUAUUCUGUCUUUGAUCGGCUUAGGCGAAGACCUUUAGAUUCCAACACUUCUCUCCAAAGGUUAAGCUUUGCAUUUACCCCUUCCUGAGUUUCAUCUAUCAACACUAUAUCGUCUGCGAAAAACAUACACCAAGGAAUAUCAUCUUGAAUAUGUCCUAUUAACUCAUCCAUUACCAACGCAAAAAGGUAAGGACUUAAGGAUGAGCCUUGAUGUAAUCCUACAGUUAUGGGAAAACUUUCGGUUUGUCCUUCAUGAGUUCUUACGGCAGUCUUUGCUCCUUCAUACAUAUCCUGUAUAGCUUGGAUAUAUGCUACUCGUACUCAUUUCUUCUCUAAAAUCCUCCAAAGAACGUCUCUUGGGACCCUAUCAUACGCUUUUUCCAAAUCUAUAAAGACCAUGUGUAAAUCCUUUUUCCCAUCUCUAUAUCUUUCCAUCAAUCUUCGUAAGAGAUAGAUUGCCUCCAUGGUUGAGCGCCCUGGCAUGCGCGAUUUCGUUCUGGAUUCAUUUUCAUAAGGAUUCGACGUGAUCAUGGAGUGCCGGCUGUCGACUACCUGACGCCCUCCCCCUCCUCCUUUAUCCGGGCUUGGGACCGGCAAUGUAAGAUAAACUUACACGGCGGAGUUAAAUAUUCAAAACGACAACACACAAAAAAUAGGUAGGACUACAUCAAUGUAAUUACUGUUUAAAAUUUUUAUGUUAAGCUUAACCUAUUUGCUGAAACCGAUAUGCCCUUGGAAUUGAAUGAAUGUUCCUAAUCUGUAUCCAACUGAUGUUUUGGGGUAGUUUGACUUUUGGAUACCGUUAAGAACCCGUGUGUAGAACUUGGCCCUACAAAACUGGCUUGUAAGUUCUACCAAUGCGGGAUAACGGUCCUGACUCCUGACAGAAACGGCCCGAAUAUGCAAGUGUAUUGAAAGUAAUACUUGGCUAAUCUGCAACUUUUAGAAAAGGAAAACCAGGUAUGUGAGGGUACAUUCUAAAUAUACUGAAACUUUUUUCUUUUCCAAAACAAAGAACCAAAAAGGAACCUGAGUGUAUUAUAACAUGCAAGGGCACUAAGAAACACAACAAAACAUAAAUAAAAAAUGAAGAAAUAAUUCAUACAUAUACAUAUAUUUUAUUAUCGUAUCCUUACCACCAUAUCCUAGUUUUUGGAGACUUGUCGUAUAUGUAUAGCAUAUCUUGUAUUCAUACCCAUGCAACAUAGGGAACAACAAGGGCAGCCUCACGGGCCGGCCAUUGAUUGUCCUCGUUGAAGAAAUUUGGGAACUAAAAAGAGACAUGUUUUACAGCAGCAUUCAUAUCAGGGGGAAAUUGUACUUUUAAUUUUUCAACUCAGAACCAAUUCAAGAUUAAUCGGAACCAAUCAACACUAAUGAAACUUCAUCAAUCAUACAUUCACCGAAGAGAGAAAUCCAAGUUUUGAACACUGCAAGCUAUGAUACUUGAAUUUAAGUUCAAGGGAUUUAAUCUUUUCCCCUAAAUGUAUUAAACAGUGAGGAAUUUUAUUCAGCGCAGUUUCAGAUCAUCAUUAGGGAAAAGAAAGCAAACACUACACCUUAUGGAAGCAAUGAAAUAUUCAAGUUGCAACACUAUUGAUUUUUUUUUUUUUUAACAAACAAUAUUAUCUACACUAAAGGAGAUGGGGUACCUCACAAUGGGCUAGCAAUAAUGUGGUUCAAAUUCACCUUUGGCAAGAAUCGAACCUAAGACCUCUCACUUACGAGUGAAGAGGAAUACCUCUAGACCGUACUUGAAUUAUUAGCAUUGGAAAACAGACAUUACUAAACCUUAAUUUCACUGCAGAAAUGGUGUCCAACAAUUCUAGCAACCUAAUUGAUAAAAUCAGGAACAAAUAGAAAUAAACUACACCCUACAUAAUUUUGAUAUACUCACUCUCAAUUGAAGGCUAUCUAUGCUGUGAAAGCUCCUGAUCUAUGGCCUCAAAUUCUUUAAUAUUGCUCUUUACAUUUUGAACUUUCUUGGAUAGCUGUUCAUUAUACUCUUCAACGAUCUCAGUAAAUGCCGUUAGCUGUUCCUGAUAUGUAGUGCACAGCCGUUUCUUGUUCCGAAGCUCUGCAGUUAAUUCUUGAAUUUUCUUAUCCUUCUCAUCCUACAAACAAAACACAAGACACAAGAGACAUGACUUAGAUCAUACUUGAUGCACGAAAAACAAAAUGUUGAUUAAAUAGGAUCAUACAGUAUAUUAUAUGCACAGAAAGAUACAUACAUCUCCAAACAUAGACAUAUAUGCAUGCAGUGCACACAUUGUUGUUUUGUGUAUAUUUGCAUUAAACAUUUCCCAUGUUCAGUUCAACAAUGGAAGAAGAGAAUUUUUAAAGCAAAUGGGACAACCGCACAAAGAGCUUGAAGGAAAUUGAGUUUUGAAACUUAUAUCUUAUCCAACUGCAAUAUCUCCAAAAUCAGAUCACCCAAAGGCUUAACCAGUUCACGUUGUUGACCCUGUGUUAUAUUCCAAAACAAAAGACAGCACAAGAAUUUUAGUUUCUUUGAGCCCUAAUAAGAUGACAUCCUACCCUGUGUAGUGUGCACGGUUCUGUAGCACUUAGAAUCAGUACACACUGUCAUUAGCAUGAUUUCUAGCAGUAUAACCAUCUGCCAUACUAAUUGCAAAACAGGGAUAUCUGGAUUUAAAUCUGUUAUUCCUACGAAGUUUGAUUGGUGAAAUUAUUUCAAAUUACUUAUUUUAUGUAUAAAAGAGACAAGAAAUAGAAAGUGGGACAAAUUCUUCAUAUAAAAAGUAACUGAAUGAAAAGGAAAAGGCCAGACUAAAUUAUGUUCGUGACAUAGCAUGAAGAAAAGCAAAGUAAGACGUUAAACCAGAAGUUACUCUCACUAGACUACCACAAAAAUGAGGCUCAAAAUUCACCAUAUUGAGUUUCUACCAGGUUGUAACUUUACAAGGUGAAGCUCAUGCCAAGGAUAUAGAGAUUCUAAAUGAUAUCACAUAUGGUACAGAAAUUGUCAAUCUAAUUUGGGAGUAUUCAACAUCAAAAUGCAACAUCCAUAAUUGUUUCCGAAGGUAAUACACAAAGGACCUAGUCCUGAACUGUAUCUAUGACUUGCUUUUCUGUACACAGCCGGUAGAGCUGCCUGAAUAAAUUUUCACCUCCAUCAAGAUGGUCUUAUAAAACAUAAAAUAAAAUGAAAUAAACCAAUUCUGCUGAUUAUGCAGAAUCCUAGAUUCACUUUCUCAAUGUCAGUAAGGAUCUUCAUGUUUUAAAAAGAACUGUUCGUUUCUAAUUACAUAUAUGCUUUGAGCAAGGCAUUAAAAAAAAUUUACUAGAAAUUCAUGAUACAUAAAAACAAUUUUUUGGUACUGCUACUAGUCUUCUUAAAAAGCAAUACAAGUUAGACUUUAAGAACCAACAAAGCAGCACUAACCCCAAACAGGAGUACGUAUAUGGUUUUCCUUUUUUCUGAAAGUACACUAUGGAUAUAAUAUACAAGAACUGUUUUUUAAAGGAGUAUAAAGUCUAAAUCUUACAUCUUAAAAUAUACAUCACCUGGCAAAUCAAUGAUUUGAAGACACUGAAAGUUCAACUAUUUAUACGAGAAUGUCAACAAAAUGAGAAAGAUACUCACCAAGGUUUGACGAGCUUCACGUGGGGACACCACUAGUGGAUGAUUAUGAUCCUUUAUGAAUUUUGUAAUCACCCAUUUACUGGAUUUAUCAUACUUUACGUGAAUCAUUGCCUUGCAACCUUCCCUUGUACUUGCUCGUGGUUUUCGAACCGGCCCAAAUUUACCUCGAAUACUAACACAGUGUCCCUCCUUAUUACACCCAAGUCGACGAGCAAGAAUCCUACCAUCUCUUUCAGACCGACGACAUGACAUCACACGCAUGACAAAUCCAACAUGCCGUGCAUACUCAUCAUAAAAUAUCUUGGCAGCAUCUUCAGAUUCGAAUUCCAUACCCUCAUAUGGUUCUACAAUGGAAUCGUCGUCAUAUGCAAUCAGUUCCUGCGCGUCAGAACUCUCCAAUGCUAUAUCCCCAUCCGAAUCCACUGCAAUACAUUGCCUGUUAAAUAUCUUCUCAGCUCUAACAAAAUCAUAACAAUAUUAUCUUUUGGGCUGGUAGAACAGGCAAUAUAAUGAAAUGGGAAAAAAUUUAGCUUUCCCAUCUAAGGUUAAUAUGAUUCUGCGAAAAAAAACCCAAAAUAUUACCCAACUACGCGCAAAAAAGCAUCUUCAUUUUCUGGUAUUCAAUAAUCAUAGGCAAGUAAAAUAUACGUUUCUUAUUUUAUCAAACAGGUGGUGAGCAACAUAAAAAAACACCCAAAAUACAAUUUACUGCAUAAUUUCACAACAAAUCAAAUUGACAAAGUCACUGUAAACUAAAUAAAUCCCACCACACCCUAUAGAAAAGAGAUAACAGAGAACUACAGAUUUUACCCAUUUAACAGUGAACAACAGCAGGCAGCUAAGCUAACACUCUUCAAUCCCAGUGCCAAAAAAAAUGCAAAAAAUAGUAUCCGAAUUACGAAGUACAGAGACACAGAAACCCAAACAAUUUAAACCGAUCAAAUUUAAGCAAAGUUGCUCCAGAUUCAGAGUCCUGGGGUAUGAACUUGCAUGACUGAAAUGGGAACAAAGUGGGGAUAAGAGGCCAAAAUAAAUGGAGGGUUUCGACGAAGGGCGAGGCAGAAGAAAUGGGUAUUCGUUGAAAUGUCGAUAGGAACGGAGCACUUACUUGAUUCGCGCAAGCUAAGUAGAUCUUCGUUUUCCGGUCGGGAGUGAGAACUCCGUGGAGUCUUAAAUGCUUCAAAUCGUUUCUUUUCCUUUGAGGAAGAUAGACCACGUCAGAUGAAAACUCGAAGGCAGACACUUUAAAAUAAAAUGCACGUGGCGCUUUACCGGCUGAAAUCUCUGAAUCCGGAUCCCCGAAGAUUCGUAAGGAAUUAUUUUAAAUAUUUUUAUUUAAAAUUAAACACAAAUAGUAUUGAAUAAAAAUUGAUUAUAUAAUGUAUGAUAAAUAGACACGAUUCAUAAAUUUUUAAAAUCUUCAUCAAAAGAAUCCUCUCCGAAUCCUUUUGGGAAAUCUUCACCCCUUUUCUUUCUAAUAACAAAUUAUUUAAUUCAAGCUUUUUUAUCCAAAUUCUGACUUUGAUUUGUGAGAUUUCAAAUUAAUAAAAGUGAGUGGUGUAUGAGAUUGUUUAUCGUCAAUUAUUAUGUGCGAAAUUCAUGUUAAAUUGAGAAUAUUUGUUAAAUCAACCCCUUCUUUUGAACUAGUAGUUUCUCUAAUUUAAGGAAGAUUUUUAACAGAAUGAGCAAAAUCCCCCUUAAACUGGUGUUUCUUCAAUUUAACAGAGAUUUUUCACAGAAAACCAAAACAAUUGACAGUGGACAAUCUCACAUACCACUUAUAUCAAUUUUAAAUUUGAAUGACCAAAAUAUAAAGUUAUGAUAAUCUCAUAGAUCAUUUUAGCUAAAAUAACAUUUAAUUUACUAAUAUUACUGCUCUACUAAAAAAAUUGAAAACAUGCAAAAAUUAUUUUUGCAAUUUUUCUUUUUGUAAUGUAUAGUGGUUGAGCAAAAGAAUCCAACCGCAUUAAUUACUUAAUGGUUAUGACAAUUGACAAUUUGGCAUAGUUUGUUGGUGUAAUUUUAGAGAAAUGACUUCCAUGUCGAUAACAUAAUAAAAUAAAAAUGUAUAAAUUUUUAUCUAUUUAUUUAUAUUUCAUGGCACGACCGUCAUGUGACAUUCCAUAUCAAUGUAAAUAAUUCUUGUAAUCAUAUUUUUUGGGGUAUAGUAAUCACCCAAGUCACUUGGAUUCUUACUUUAAAAUGCAGAAAAGAUAGAAAAUAUUGUAAUUGUUACAAAUAGACAAAAGAGAGAACUUCUGAAGCGGAACAUGAGCAAUGUAUCAUACUGUUUAUUAUCUUUAUUAGUGUCAAAUAAGUGAAAUAGACGUAGAAUAUGAGAUGUGAAAUAAAGUAGUAUUAUCUUGAUGCUUUUCUUCUUUUGUCCUGCAAGGGAAAGAGUAAGUUGGCACUAAUUGUUUACUUGAGAUGGAUAGAUGAUCUUUACAUUACAAAGUUCCAUUUAUAUAGAGGAGCCUGACACCCGUAGAAAAUAAAUGGCCUGAAUGAAGGUCUUCAUCCAUUUCACUAUUUCAUCUUUCUAAGACGCCGGCUUGGUAUUACUGUGCUUUGAAAAAAAAACUGUUUUUGUUGUGAUGUGAGAAUAAGCUUAUUUUUGCUGCUUUAUGUUUUUAGCUUUUUUUUCACCCAAUAUUGUGAAAAUAAGUUAUUUUUAAGUAUUUACCAAACACCUUUUUGAGCUUAAUUUUUUUUUAUACCCACUUUUUAUAAAAAAAAAACCCUAAACCCUUUUUAUAAAAGCACUUCAGUACCAAAACCAGUACUUACUCUACCCAAACGCUUUAAUUGGUAUAGCUAAAAUUCACUUUAGCUGCAUGUUGAUUUGCUUCUUUAUGCAUUCAUGUGUAGUAUUCACAUCAUAUUUCGCGACAUAUGUGUGACAUUCACACCAUAUUUCACGAGAGUAAUAAGAAUUCAAUCAUGGCUUCCACCCUGUUGAGAGCACAUGGACGAUGCAUGGUCCUCAUACAACUCUCUGACCAAAAAAUUAUGUACGCAACUAGUCAUCCAAGUGAGUCGAAAAUGGAAGCUGCCAUCUAAAAAAUACCGUUAGACCGUAUUGCUAGUGACAAGGUUGGAUCAAGAGUUCGAUUCACUUCAAUUGUAACGAACAACUCCUGAUAAAUAACUGAAACUUAUAAGUGGUUUUAUCGUACAGAGUUUUGGAAAAUCCCCUCUCCAGCAAAAAUUUUCAAUAUGCCGAAAACACAGUCUGGUACGUUAAGUGUCUUAAUACAAGUAUACGAAAACCACAACCAUCAGCAAAGGGUAAUUCUCAAGAGUUGUAUUUAAAAGGAAGAUUGGAAACAGUGUUCUGAAGCUAUACAAAACAGACCUCAUAGCAAAUUUCACGUGUAAGCGAUGGUCCGAUUCCAACUUCCUUCGGACGUCCUAUAAUCUGCUUUAUAAGCACAAUUCACAUGGAUGGCUCAGGUAAAACUGUACAUGGACUCAAUCACAUUUUCCCUACUGACUAUUUGAUGCAGACGAGAAAUUUACGCAAGGCAGUCCAAUGAAUGCCAGUGACUAAAACAUCACAAAGCUAUAGAAGGUUAGAAACUAACUAGCUUCCUAAAAUCCAGGCGAACCCCUAACACUAAAAUCAAAACAAUGACCGAAUGAUUCAUCCUACAGAAUUGUCCACGACAUUGCUUGAUUCUAUGUUUUACCAAACGAGAAAGUGCUUAAGUUGCAGAAAUCCUUAUCUGUGUCCUUGCAGUUCUUUGCCUUCAAUCUCCUUCACACUGUCUACUAUGUGUUGGAUCUUUUUUGAUAGGCUCUCGUUGUGUUCUUCAAUGUGCUCAAAAAUUAGUUCCAGAUGUCUUUUAUAGGUCACAGCACGCUUUUUCUCUAUGGCCAACUGCUGAGAUAAUUCCCGAAUCUUGUCAUGCUCAUUCUGAACGAGAAAACAAAAGGUAAUUAAAAUACACGUCAAGCUGUAUUAUUAUGAUUCACAAAUUCAAACCCAAUUAAAAUUUUCCCAACAAUAGCAUCUCCAUUUUCUCGUCAUGAUUUUCAGCAUCAAUCCAUUUCAAUGUCUGGAUUAGUCGCAAGUAAGUCUGUGGAGAAAGAACAUAACUCCCACAUGUAAUGUAUUCGUUUGUGAAAAGCAUACAUAGUCCAUUCUUCGCGUGCACAAAACCGCAAACUAGGAAAUGUUUAUGUUUCAACUACAAUACUUUAAUAGGCUAGAACCUUGUUUUAAUGAUCUAGCUGCUAACCAUGGUAACUAAAAAAAACUGCAUGGUUUUCACUUUUCACCAUACAACACAGGAGGAAACAGCGAAAACCAAAAGCCAUAACCUACACAUGCAAGCAUGGCGGACAGAAACAACAAUAAUAUAACAUAUUAAACAUCCUAGAAAGCAAGUGCAAAUCAUCUCAAGUACUCAUUGUGGAAAUGGACAACUAUGAGCUUAGGACUCGAAUACAACACAGGAGACAACAAUGAAAACCGAAAGCCAUAACCUACACAUGAAAGCAUGGCGGACAGAAGCAACAAUGAUAUAGCAUAAUUACAUUCUAGAAAGCAAUUGCAAAUCAUCUCGAGUACUCAUUGUGGAAAUGGACAACGAUGAGCUUAGGACUCAAAGACAUUUACACACAAGGAUCGAAUGGCAUGUUGGAGAAACAAAAUCACCACCAUUGCGGAAAUGGAUGUCUAUCGUACACAGCCUUAUCAUUGCUUUUGAAAAGAGGUUGUUUCCACAACUCGAACUUUGACCUUUCCAUCACAAAGGAGCAACCUUUCUGUUGUGCCAAGGCUCGCCCUCAAGGAAGUAUUAAAGAACUACAUUCCAAAAAUUCUACAACCACGUCUGAUUUUAGGCUACUGUAGUGUGUAUAGACACUAGCUGCCGCAUGUCAAAAAAAGCCCAAACAGCAAAAGAAUUCAACAGUCACUUGCCUAACAUUAAAUACUAUGUGAAUAACAUUUCAUCAAAAAAGGAAGGGAGACUAAAAACUGUUUCAGAUGAACAUCAAACCAAAAAGCCAGAGUUUUCAAGAUUUGAGUCCGAUCUAUUACGAAACCACCUUUUUUUUUUUUUUUUUUUUUUUAAAUCCUGCCUUUGCUUUUGACAUCUCCCACUCACAUUACUUUUGGCCAACUUCUAGCCAUUGUAGCCUCCAUAUUUGUAAAAUUCAAUCAUUACUAACUUCAUUACCUAGCAUCUGAUAUCAUACAGUACAGAGUGAGUUGCUAAAAUGUGCCUAACCGGAUACUGAAUAUGAUUACACUAUUUACUCUACUUCAAAUCCCAAACAUAGUGAUAGCCAUUUACUCUACUCCCAUGGUAAUAGAAAAGAAGAUAUUCAUGAAUACAGAUUGUAAUAUACCACCCCCCAUUAUUUGUAAAAGACCUAUUACUAUUAACAAACUUCAGAACUUUGCAAGGGAUAAGAAAAUUUAACAAUGGAAAAAGCCAAACACUAAUGGUCAAAAAAGGAGAAAAACAACUAAC